AUGAGUUUUGAAUUAGAACAAGAGUUUUACGUCCCUCCAGUAAUAUUAUUCAACGCGUUUACCGACGCACAGGUGUUGACAAGAUUGUCUAGGGGUGCCUUGGCUGAAGUGGAGUUAAAAGUAGGAGGUGAUUUUAGCAUGUUUUCAAAAAGUAUAUAUGGGAAAUUUAUAAAAAUUGAUAAUCCUAACGAAAUUAUUCAGACGUGGAAAUUUUGUGAUUGGAAUGAAAAUGAUUACAGUCAAGUAACAAUAAAUUUUAUACCCAUAAAAGAAAACCACACUUUAAUUAAAUUGAAACAUGAAAACAUUCCAUUAAAAAAUAAGUAUAAUGAAGGGGGGGUGUUAGAAAGAUGCAAACAUGGAUGGACUGAAAAUAUUUUUAGAAGUAUCGAACUAGUUUUAGGAUAUCCAAAAAAAAAAUAAAAAUAAACGUUUGUGAUUUUAAUUUCA
rnacentral:lncRNA from 1 species